AUGGGGGAUGUGCAUGGAUGUGUUUGGUGUGUGCGUGUCUCUGGUGUGUGGCACGGGGGAUGUGCAUGUGGGCAUGGGGGAUGUGCAUGGGUAUGUGUGUGUGGUAUGGGGGAUGAGUGUGUAUGCGUGUGGUGCAUGUGGCACACGGGAUGUGCAUGUGGGCACGGGGGAUGUGCAUGGGUGUGUGUGUGUGUGUGUAUGGUGUGUGCGUGUCCGUGGUGUGUGUGUGGCGCGGGGAUAUGUGUGGGUGAGUAUGGUGUGUGUGUGUGUCCGUGGUGCGUGUGUGGCACGAGGGAUGUGCGUCGGUGUGUAUGGUAUGUGCAUGGCUCUGGUGUGUGUGGCACGGGGAUGUGCAUGGGUGUGUAUGGUGUGUGUGUGUGUGUCUCUGGUGCAUGUGUGGCACGGGGAUGUGCGUGGGUGAGUAUGGUGCGUGGGCAUUCCAGUUUUAGACUGAAUCCCAGCAGACCAGCCAUUGUUCACCCUCGUUCCCUUCACUGCCCUCCCAGAUGACACUCCCUGUGCAUCUGAUUCCGCAGAGUGGGCUGGUGGUUUUCGGAUAGUCAUUCCUGAAGGACCCUGUAGCCCAUGGUCAAUGCCUCAAACACUGAAGCCCUCGCCAGGGAGCAUAUUGGCUGCUCCCCACCACACCUGCAGCACUCCUGCAACUGGGCCAGAGAAACUGGUUUUACUGGGAGCUUGGGGGCUGGGAUCAGGCAGUGGGAGGCGCCCAAAGCCCUGAGAUCCAAAUUCUCCUUUUGGAGCCAUCAAUGCAAGUCCAUGGAGUUGAAGCAAGCAGAAUUUGGAUCCCAGGGUUAAUUGGAGGGAAAGGGAUGGGUUUGGAACGGAAAUGACAUACAACGAAUGUACCUAGAUUGGAAGCUCUUUGGGGCAGGGCCUAUCUCUUUGUUCUGUGUUUGUCCAGCACCUGGCGCCAUGGGGACCUGAUCCAUGACUCCAGGGCUCAUAGGCACUAUGCAGUACAGAUAGUAGAAAUAACAGGGCCUAAUUCCGAGCUUACUUAUUCCGGCGUAAAUCAGGAGUCAGUGAAGCCACAUAUAGGUGUCAAUCCGGUGUGAGAUCAGGUGUCAAUCCGGUGUGAGAUCAGAAUCUAAAUCUUGAAGAAAACAGAGUCACACAAGAGACUAAACUCUCGCCAAGUGUGAGCUGAAGCCCUGAAGUCAACUGAAAGGUUACCACUGAUUUCACUGGGCUUCAGAUCGGGCCCUGGAACAGCAGAGCAGCCAGAGAUAGGAGGAAAUCAUUUUGAUUUCUCUCUGCGAAGCUGUCGUUGAGAAAUUCGAAAGCAGGGCUGCUCCUUUGCGUUCUGAGCAGAGCUGUGUCAGAGAGAGAGAGAGAGAGAAAGUGUGUGUGUGUGUGUGUGUGUGUGUUUGUGUAUGUUUAAAGAAGCAGCCUUUGUUGUCCGUACUCGGCCGGUAGGUGGCAUCAAAGUUUGGUCGACUUGUUGCAGCUUUUUAACCUUGUCUCUUUUUAAACACGUUGGUUGGAAUAAAAGGAUUUGUCUGUUGCUAGCCCCUCUCGUU
rnacentral:lncRNA from 1 species